AUGUUGAAAGGGAGGAGCUAUAGCUCACAGCGAGGGCCACAAGAGAAAGCUUCCUGGAGAAGGCAUAAACACUGGAAGACAGGCAUGACGUCGGGAGGCAGAUGGGAGGAAGGACACCAUGAGCCGAGAACCACAGUAGGCUUUAUGGGGACAGUGCUAUAGCUGGGGAUAGAACAGAGAAUGCGAAGCAUGGAGAACAGGGGGAAUAGUGCGAGAGGUAAUACAAGAAUGGUUUUUUAUUCUGAAAUACUGUUUUCUAACUAUAUUCUAAGCCCCUAAGGUCAGGACAUAGCAGAUGAAUGAAAUUUAGGUUAACGACAUACAAUGGCUAAUUGUGGCAACCCAUAGAGAGUUAGCACAAGAAGUUUGGACUCUAAUCAAUAGAUGAUGUCACAUGGCUAAAAGUUCUGGGGCUGGGAAAGAAUGUCAUGAGAGCAAUGGUUAGCGGCUGUGCAGAGUGGGCGAGAGGCCAGGGAGGCGCUUGUCCUGAUUCUUCUCACCAGGCCAAAAGCUUCCGGAGCUCUGCUGUCCUAUACCACAGCUGAUAGCCUCAUGUAGCUAAUUAAACUUAAAUUUAAAUUAACUAAAAUGAAAUAAAAUGACAAACCCAGUUUCUUGGUCACACUUACUGCAUCUUAAGUGUUCAGUCAACACAUCUGGCCAG
ensembl:lncRNA novel transcript, sense intronic to SSH1